CGGAACCUGCCAGCAGAGACGAGGAGGAGGAGGAGGACAAGGAGGAGAAGGAGCCGCUCUUCCUCAUGGCCAAACUCAGACCAGGUGACCUCUACCUGGUUCCUGGACCAACAUGGACGCCCAGAACCGCUCUGGCCCAACGCAACCUGACGCCCAGAAGCAGAGUGAAGCUUCCUCCCAUCCAGAAGAGUCUGUGGCAGACGGCGCUGCAUGAAUGGAUGGGAUGAUCGGAUCACUUCUAAUCAAGCUGCUGCUGCUGAACUGGAGCUUUUCUUCUAUUAAAGUUUAAUAAAAUCCAGUAAUUUAAA